rnacentral:tRNA from 1 species
GUCUCGGUGGAGUGAAGGAUAGAGCACGGUGUCCAGAAAUCAUAAGUACGGGUUCGAGUCCCGUCCGAGACU